GAGAACUCGGGUGAGCGGCGGAGGGUUAGUACGCGUGGGAUAUGCCCUUCACUACGGAAUAGCCUCGGGAAACUGAGAGUAAUACCGUAUACGCCCUUUGGGGGAAAGAUUUAUCGGUGAAGGAUUAGCCCGCGUCUGAUUAGAUAGUUGGUGGGGUAACGGCCUACCAAGUCGACGAUCAGUAGCUGGUUUGAGAGGAUGAUCAGCAACACUGGGACUGAGACACGGCCCAGACUCCUACGGGAGGCAGCAGUGGGGAAUCUUAGACAAUGGGCGCAAGCCUGAUCUAGCCAUGCCGCGUGAGUGACGAAGGCCUUAGGGUCGUAAAGCUCUUUCGCCAGGGAUGAUAAUGACAGUACCUGGUAAAGAAACCCCGGCUAACUCCGUGCCAGCAGCCGCGGUAAUACGGAGGGGGUUAGCGUUGUUCGGAAUUACUGGGCGUAAAGCGCGCGUAGGCGGAUUGGAAAGUUGGGGGUGAAAUCCCGGGGCUCAACCCCGGAACUGCCUCCAAAACUAUCAGUCUAGAGUUCGAGAGAGGUGAGUGGAAUUCCGAGUGUAGAGGUGAAAUUCGUAGAUAUUCGGAGGAACACCAGUGGCGAAGGCGGCUCACUGGCUCGAUACUGACGCUGAGGUGCGAAAGUGUGGGGAG
rnacentral:rRNA from 1 species